rnacentral:lncRNA from 13 species
UUUUAAAACAAGUUACCAUCCUGUAACAAAAUUCAAUAUCCAGUGGGCUUUCUUCAAUAAAAAAUAAAUAACCCCCCACUGAUAACCACUUUGCCCAAGAGGAAAACUUGGAUUUCAGCUUUCCCUGAGAGCAGCACUCCCUAAUCCCUGGAACGCCGCACCCUGCAUGGUUCCCCGCCCACCCCUCGCGCGGGGGCUCCCUGACAGUCCCCUGCUGCUCCUCUGCUGGGCGCCACAACUUUCCCCAACCUGUGCCAACUUCCAGGGCACAGCCUUUGCGGAGAGUAGCAGGGUACAGUGAAUAACUCAGACACUAAAAAGCAAGGCAGCGGGGGUCCUACCAGCGCGGCUUUUGAUGACGUCGGUGAAUCCGUCCUCAGCGGCAUUUUCUGGGGUCUCCUGCGGACCCCUCAGCUGUGCCAUAACCAAACGCCACGCGCCCCGGCUUCCUCACGCCCCAAACUUUGGAAGGCAGGUGAGUUCUUGGAUGAAGUGCAUCCUUAUACCUUCUGGGGCCUAAUCUGAAGUCAUCUGAAUUUAUUAAGAAAGCCAUGAUCUGAGGUAAAUGACUCUCUAGAUUCAUGCUAUAAUUAUUUGGUAAGUGUUGACUAUCAUUAACCCAAAAAGCCACAUUUUGGAGAAGCACAAACUUCUUGUAGAAUUAAUAUGAUAAUAACAUAAAAUGCUUCAUUUUAUGGAGUCUGGUUUAGAAAUGCAUUGCUUUUCCAUCUCUAUGAUCAAAUUGGACCGUAAGUUACAUGCUGGGCUGAUUUUUGUUGCUUUGGGAUGCUGGUAGGCUAUUAUCUCACUGCUAAUGGUAGCCUUAGUGGCUUCCCAUGGUGUUCCUUCCAAAGUUUCCAGACCAUUGUUUUAAAAAUAUGUUUCGGUCUUUUACAGAAAAUGGUUGCUAACAUGUUGUUUGUAUAAUAGAGAGGAAGUGGAACUUCACGGUCUUUAUGGGUGGAGAGCUAUUUUCAGUUGCUACUUUGCUUAUUAACAAGAAAAUAUCUUAAUAGUUUCUGAGAAAAUUCAGUCCAUUUUACUCAGCUUACAAUCUCUGAAGUUUAUAGAGGAUCUUUUUUUUUUUUUAAGUCUACUUUAGGUUCUGGGGUACUUGUGCAGAUCAUGCAGGAUUGUUGCGUAGGUACAUACAUGGCAAGGUGGAUUGCUGCCUCCAUCCCCCUGUCAGCUAUACCUGGCAUUUCUCCCCACAUUAUCACUCCCCCCAUCCCCUGCCACUGUCCAUCCUGUGCCCC